rnacentral:rRNA from 1 species
CCUACGGGUGGCAGCAGUGAGGAAUAUUGGUCAAUGGACGAGAGCCUGAACCAGCCAAGUAGCGUGAAGGAUGACUGCCCUAUGGGUUGUAAACUUCUUUUAUCUGGGAAUAAAACGCGGCACGUGUCCCGUUUUGCAUGUACUCUAUGAAUAAGGCUCGGCUAACUCCGUGCCAGCAGCCGCGGUAAUACGGAGGAUGCGAGCGUUAUCCGGAUUUAUUGGGUUUAAAGGGUGGGUAGGCGGAAGGUAAAGUCAGUGGUAAAAUGGCGGGGGUCAACCCCGUCGUGCCGUUGAAACUGGCGGGCUUGAGUGGGCGAGAAGUAUGCGGAAUGCGUGGUGUAGCGGUGAAAUGCGUAGAUAUCACGAAGAACGCCGAGUGCGAAGGCAGCGUACCGGAG